ensembl:lncRNA
UGAUUCAGCUCUGACUUCUGCAGCGUUCUGGCAGUUCUUGGGACUGAGAUGUCACGUCGUGUCUUGCUCUUCCUCCCCCUUUCCUUCAUUCCACUAACCUCCCACACUUUGGGCUGUCCGGCAUCAUGCAUUUCUCCGUUUAUCAUCCCUCCAUCUGUCCACUCCAUCCACAUCUAGUAUCUCCAUACUGAUGAAAACCACAGCAAACACCCGCCCCGCUGAAAAAAUCGAUCAAUCGGGAGGGAUGAUCAAAUCAGCAGAGAGUGCAGAUGUGGCACUCUAUCUACAGCUGGCCAGAUGCCUAGAGAAAUUCCAGAGGGAAUGCAUGGCGAAUUAGCCUUCUGGGUCGGCCUGCAAAUUGAUGACAUGACUGAACAGCUCUAUUCUGUCAAAAGGAAUCUCUCAUUUAGACAUGCAGAACAACCAAACACCUUUUGUACAUUGCAAAUACAAAAUGGAGAAAAUGCUUCUUGUUUAGUUGAUACAAACUGCCUCAAACUAAAUGCUAAUAUAUUUCAAAGAUUCAGUGCCAUGAACCAUGCAAACUUUGACAAGUGCAUUAACUAGUUCUUUUCCCAUGCUGGUAGCAACGGCACAUUUUAUUGUCAGCAAGUACUCCAGUAUGCUGUGUUGUUGUGAAUUUGACAAAACUUUGAACUUAAAAUUUAAUGGUAUUAUUUGAAGUAUUCUGCAGUUUCUGAUAAA